AUGAGUCAGUUUCGCAACGGAGAAGUUCCUCGGUUUCUUUCAUCAGAUAUUAAUGUAGUACCAGUACUCUCUGAAGUCACAGUUCCUAGUUUUCCAGAGUAUAGAACAUCUUACAUUGAAAGGGACAUGUGCGGUAGUUCUAUCACCUCAUUCAAUACCUUAUGUCAGCCAUAUAUGUCAGCUUCCAAUUUCACUUCAGAUCUUUGUAUCAACAAUGGGUCACCUAAAGGGAAACUGUCUUUUGGAUCUCAUGUUAUUGCAAUAUCUGGUUGUGAUACUUCACUGCCAUCAGCACAUUCAUCAUACACGGGUAAUCCAGAUUAUUUAAGGAUGGUCUAUCCCAAAGUAUCUGAAGAAAUAAACUGGGGUCAAGAACCACUCCCAGGAGUAUUUGAAUAUCCAGCAACCAUUGAUGUUUCUGAUCAACGAAACGUGAUUGUUAGCCAACAAAGCCAAGACAUUAUUACAAUUGAUCAUAUUACCCACCUUGCAAAGCAAAAAGAGUGGUACUCAUCUGGGUGUUCAGAGCAAUUUCUGGGAAGUUCAGGAUCUGGUGGAUCUGUGCUUAAGGCAGCUGAUGCAAAUACAACACCUCCAAAUUAUGCAUAUUUUCAUGGGCAGAAAAACAGAUUGAGUUCUUUCAAUGUGGAUGAACUUUGCAGUGAUAAUUUACCUUGUUCAGACACUACUCCAACCAAGUCAAGGAUGCGCUGGACACCUGAGCUCCAUGAGAAGUUUGUUGACGCCGUUGACAAGCUUGGUGGAAGUGAAAAAGCAACUCCAAAAGCAGUCCAGAAAGUUAUGAAGGUUGAAGGGCUAACUAUAUACCAUGUAAAAAGCCAUCUACAGAAGUAUCGUACAGUUCGCCAUCAAUCUGAAUUGUCUGAUGCAGGCACUUCAGCAGAGAGAAGCAACCACAUGGAUGAAGUUUGCUCCCAGAACAUGAAACACAUGGAGGCUAGUGAAGGGCUAAGAACUCAGAUUGGCUUGCAGAAGCAACUUCAUGCACAGCUUGAGCUCCAAAGAAAGAUGCAGCUGCAAGUAGAAGAACACAGCAAGUACCUGGAGAUGGUGAUCGCGAGGCAGGGCGAGAGCCUAAAACAGCUCGGCGCGCUACCGAGGUUCCAGCAUUCGAACACGCAGUCUGUGGAUCACAAGGAAGCAUACAGAGAACAAACAGCAGACACUGAUUCGGCCGAAGGGAGCCAUCCAGAAAAGGAAUGA
rnacentral:rRNA from 1 species